rnacentral:rRNA from 1 species
UACGUAGGUGGCAAGCGUUGUCCGGAUUUACUGGGCGUAAAGAGCGCGCAGGCGGUCGGCCAAGUCGAGUGUGAAAGCCCCCGGCUCAACUGGGGAGGGUCAUUCGAUACUGGUCGACUCGAAGGCAGGAGAGGGAAGCGGAAUUCCCGGUGUAGUGGUGAAAUGCGUAGAUAUCGGGAGGAACACCAGUGGCGAAGGCGGCUUCCUGGCCUGUUCUUGACGCUGAGGCGCGAAAGCUAGGGUAGCAAACGGG